UACAGAGGGUGCGAGCGUUAAUCGGAGUUACUGGGCGUAAAGGGCGUGUAGGCGGCUAUGUAAGUGGGGUGUGAAAUCUCUGGGCUUAACCUAGGAACUGCAGCUUAUACUGUAUGACUGGAGUACUGUAGAGGGUAGUGGAAUUUCCGGUGUAGCGGUGAAAUGCGUAGAGAUCGGAAGGAACACCAGUGGCGAAGGCGGCUACCUGGACAGAUACUGACGCUGAGGCGCGAGAGCGUGGGGAGCAAACAGG
rnacentral:rRNA from 1 species